rnacentral:rRNA from 1 species
GGCGGCAUNCCUUACACAUGCAAGUCGAACGGCAGCACGGGUGCUUGCACCUGGUGGCGAGUGGCGAACGGGUGAGUAAUAUAUCGGAACGUACCUUAUUGUGGGGGAUAACGCAGCGAAAGCUGUGCUAAUACCGCAUAAUCCCUAAGGGGGAAAGCGGGGGACCGUAAGGCCUCGCGCAAUUAGAGCGGCCGAUACCUGAUUAGCUAGUUGGUGAGGUAAAGGCUCACCAAGGCAACGAUCAGUAGCUGGUCUGAGAGGACGAUCAGCCACACUGGGACUGAGACACGGCCCAGACUCCUACGGGAGGCAGCAGUGGGGAAUUUUGGACAAUGGGGGCAACCCUGAUCCAGCAAUGCCGCGUGAGUGAAGAAGGCCUUCGGGUUGUAAAGCUCUUUUGUCAGGGAAGAAACAGCAGCUCUAACACAGUAUGCGAAUGACGGUACCUGAAGAAUAAGCACCGGCUAACUACGUGCCAGCAGCCGGCGGUA